GUAGGUGGCAAGCGUUGUCCGGAAUUAUUGGGCGUAAAGCGCGCGCAGGCGGUCCCUUAAGUCUGAUGUGAAAGCCCACGGCUCAACCGUGGAGGGUCAUUGGAAACUGGGGGACUUGAGUACAGAAGAGGAAAGCGGAAUUCCAAGUGUAGCGGUGAAAUGCGUAGAGAUUUGGAGGAACACCAGUGGCGAAGGCGGCUUUCUGGUCUGUAACUGACGCUGAGGCGCGAAAGCGUGGGGAGCAAACAGGGAUUAGAUACCCUGGUAGUCCACGCCGUAAACGAUGAGUGCUAAGUGUUAGGGGGUUUCCCGCCCCUUAGUGCUGCAGCUAACGCAUUAAGCACUCCGCCUGGGGAGUACGGCCGCAAGGCUG
rnacentral:rRNA from 1 species